rnacentral:tRNA from 1 species
GUGCCCGUAGCUCAACUGGAUAGAGCGUCGGCCUCCGAAGCCGAAGGUUGAAGGUUCGACUCCUUCCGGGCACG